rnacentral:rRNA from 1 species
UACGGGGGGGGCAAGCGUUGUUCGGAAUUACUGGGCGUAAAGGGCUCGUAGGCGGCCAACUAAGUCAGACGUGAAAUCCCCAGGCUCAACCUGGGAACUGCGUCUGAUACUGGAUGGCUUGAAUUCGGGAGAGGGUCGUGGAAUUCCCAGUGUAGAGGUGAAAUUCGUAGAUAUUGGGAAGAACACCGGUGGCGAAGGCGGCGACCUGGUCCUUUUACUGACGCUGAGGCGCGAAAGCGUGGGGAGCAAACAGG